rnacentral:lncRNA from 1 species
CCACGCGCCUUGCCCACUACACGCUUGUCAGAGUGGAGAAACGUCAAAACGAAAAACAUGUGUGCUGCCGCAAAGAAUAUUUUCGCAGUAGAAUUUUUCGUUAAUUUUCAUAAAUUUUGUACCUUUUCUGGUCAGAAUUUGCCAUCAAAUCAUUGUUAGAGGUUGUGGAAUUCGCAAAACCGCCGCGAAGAGCUAAGUAAAAAAUUUCCGGCAAGCUGCUGUUCCGAUGUUUCCGGAGUGGAUAGUGAGCAAAUAGUGAAAACAUGCUAAAACAAAUAGUGAGUUCCCUUCAGCUGACACCUUGAUGAUUCCUCCCGCGAGAUGAUCGCCUCGGUACAAAAGGCAUUCCGAAAGAAUGGCAGUGGACAAAAACCACAAGGCAGACAGGACAAAAACAAAAGAUGAAAAUUUUGCGCUGUUAGUGAAAAUGAUGUGAUUAAUUGAAAUGUGCUUCAAUAAAAAUAAAUAUUGAUUUUAGAUAAUAUAA